UACGAAGGGGGCUAGCGUUGCUCGGAAUCACUGGGCGUAAAGGGUGCGUAGGCGGGUUUUUAAGUCAGGGGUGAAAUCCUGGAGCUCAACUCCAGAACUGCCUUUGAUACUGAAGAUCUUGAGUUCGGGAGAGGUGAGUGGAACUGCGAGUGUAGAGGUGAAAUUCGUAGAUAUUCGCAAGAACACCCGUGGCGAAAGCGGCUCUCUGGAACGGUACUGACGCUGAGACGCGAAAGCGUGGGGAGCGAACAGG
rnacentral:rRNA from 1 species